rnacentral:rRNA from 1 species
GGUCUGGCCGGGCGGUCCACCUUCUCGGGUGCGCACUGCUCACGGGCCGGUCCUUCCCUUCUGGGGAACCGCGGCGACGCCUUUGCGGGUGCCGUCGUUGGGGAGCCAGGACGUUUACCUUGAAAAAAUUAGAGUGUUCAAAGCGGGCGCACGCUCGAAUAGAUUAGCAUGGAAUAAUGGAAUAGGACCUUGGUCUUAUUUUGUUGGUUUUCGAAGGCCACGGUA